rnacentral:misc_RNA from 1 species
CGCGACUCCUAGGGACUUACAUGAUUUUCGCGAAUCGCGACGCGCUGCUCAGGUAGGACUUACGCGAUUGCUGUUCAGGUACGACCCCUGGAGACUUGCCCAAAUCUCUUCUUCUUUCUAGUUCUUCCCUUCUUUUCUUCUUCUUCUAUGUUUUUCAACAGUGUGGCUAUGCUGCUUUGUUUUUCAGACCUAUUUUUAGUGGUUGACUGGCGGUGAAG